GGCGAUCAGAUACCGCCCUAGUUCUAACCGUAAACGAUGACAACCAGCGAUUAAUCGGCGUUAAUAUACGACCCGAUUAGCAGCUUCAGGGAAACCAAAGUUUUUCGUUUCCGGGGGAAGUAUGGUUGCAAAGCUGAAACUUAAAGGAAUUGACGGAAGGGCACCACCAGGAGUGGAGCCUGCGGCUUAAUUUGACUCAACACGGGAAAACUCACCCGGCCCGGACACUGUAAGGAUUGACAGACUGAGAGCUCUUUCUUAAUUCAGUGGGUGGUGGUGCAUGGCCGUUCUUAGUUGGUGGAACGAUUUGUCUGGUUAAUUCCGAUAACGAACGAGACUCUGGCCUAUUAAAUAGACGAGGUAUUUACAUAGUAUCUCGCGCUUCUUAAAGGGACAAGCGGCGUCUAGUCGCAUGAAAAAGAGCAAUAACAGGUCUGUGAUGCCCUUAAAUGUCCGGGGCUGCACGCGCGCUACACUGAAAGAAUCAGCGUGCAUUUUAACCUAGUCCGGAAGGACCGGGUAACCCGAGUAAAUUCUUUCGUGCUUGGGAUAGGGAAUUGCAAUUAUUUCCCUUAAACGAGGAAUUCCCAGUAAAUGCGGGUCAUAAGCUCGCGUUGAUUACGUCCCUGCCCUUUGUA
rnacentral:rRNA from 1 species